GGGGAGCUGCGAUGCUGAGAUAACCCGGCUCCUCCAGGCUGCCUCAUCUCAGCGAUUAUCCUGAAGGAGCACCCGCCCUUCAGGUGUCCCAGAAGCUGCUUGUCAGGCCAGGAAGACAGCAGCCCUGAUGAUCAGUUCUUCCUAAAGCCAUCCGGCUCCUGGGGAGAGGCAGGACAGCCCCCCAGGGCAGGGAGAGCACUCGGAGGGGCCAGCAGGAGGCGUCCGGCUCAAGGUCUUCAACGCCACCUUUUAUGAUGAAAGUGUCCUUGAAUGAGAGAGUGGUGGGCAGUGACGCACGGCUUUGUGAAUAGCCUGUCAAGCACCGAGCUGCAAACUUUAACAUGGAGAAUUUUACGGCAUGUGAAUUACUUCUCCAUUAAAAAACCUUUUUUUUUUUUUUGAAAAUCACCUUUUUAAUGAGUGAAGACUUUCCUGGCUACAAGAUCCACCAUCUUGGCCCGACCCCUGACGUUCCCUGUCCUUCUUCACAGCAUCUUUCUUCUCCUCAGUGGCUAUCAUGGGACGUGCCAUAUACAGGCCUCCUCCUCUAGCACGCAGCCUCCAUAAGGGGCAGGGCCUGCGGGCUGUUUGUCCCUGCUGUAUGCCCAGUCCCUCAGCACAAGGAAAUAAAAAUGUGAUUGGAAUGAAGGAGGGAUUGAAAGGGGGGUGAUUCUGGGUGGAGGUGAGGGCGCUUGGGCCAAGUCCUGCUUGUCUCCGCCUCCGCUCUCUGGGGCCUUUGAACAGGAGCCCCAGGGCCCCAGGGUCAGUUUGGAAACCCCCAUGUAGCCAGGCAAAGGCUUUCAUUUCCCGUUCAUUUUACGAAUGUGUCUCCGGCGGCUCAUUUCAUCUUCAAGUGACACAGGACAUCACGAAGGCCUUCUGUGGUAUUUGUACGCCACUAUUCAUUGCAGUGUGAUUCACGACAGCAGAAGGUGGGAGCAACCCGGGUGUCCACCACGGAUGGACAUGGAUCAUGGAUAAAUCCAAGUGUCAUCAAACAAACAAAACGUGGUAUUGCACAUGAUGAACUAUUAAGAGGAAGGAAAUCCUGACACACGCUACAACAUGGAUGAACCUUGAGGACAUUAUGAGUGAAAUAAGCCAGUCACAGAAAGACGAAUACUGUAUGAUUCCAUUGAUACGUGGUUCUCAGAUUCACAGAGACAGAAAGCAGAAUGGUGGGUGCCCAGGGCUGGAGGAGGGAGCAGUGGGGAGUUAGUGUUUAGUGGGUGCAGAGCUUUGGUUCUGCAAGGUGAAAAGGGUUCUGGAGAUGGAGGGUGGUGGUGGUUUCACAAGCGCAUGAAUGUAUUUAGCACCACUGAGCUAAAACAUGCUUACGAUGGUACAUUUUGA
rnacentral:lncRNA from 1 species